CUACAUCUACAAACAAGACAGACACAAGGAGAAGAACUGCAGGGAAAUCUGGACACACGGACUGAAAGAGAGAGCGAAGAGAAAGGAAAAGAUAGAAAAGAAGGAAAAGGAAGAAGUAAACAAAAACAAAUGGAGACGCGCCAAAGAAUGUCCAUCUUAAAGGUGAUCUGACAUAAUAUUGAGUCUUCCAAUCUAGAGGUUUGGCAAUUUCGGUUCUUUACAUAUUUCAAUAAGGACUUUUUCAAACAAAAAAAUCAACAACUUUCAUAGUUAGAUAAAAAUAUUUCGACGCCAGUCAACCGCACCAUUGCUUUGUGUAUUAAUUUUUUUUAAACUUUUUGGCAUCUGUUGAUAUGCAGAAUUAAAUUAUGUAGAAAAUAUAAGUAAAACAUAUCAUGGAAGCAUAGUAUAGUAAAGCAUAGUAUCUUAUAUUGAAAUGUUUAACUUAUAUUUUCCACAU